rnacentral:tRNA from 1 species
UGGCUUGUAACUGGGUGGUAGAGUACUUAUCUCAAAUGCAUGAGGCCAUGGGUUUGAUCCCCAUCACUUCAG